rnacentral:lncRNA from 1 species
AUAGUUUCAUUUAUUUUGAAUAGGUAUCUAGAAGGAGAUUUCUUUUUAUUUUUUUUUUAACUGGUUUCAUUCACUUUAUUAUUCCCUUUAUAAAAUUAUGUGGUGGCUACAGCUGGGGCCUGUGUCCUCUGCACGGAGACUCUGGUGUGGGUCUUCACAAGAUGGUCAGUGAAUUCCUGAUAUGGAGACUUGGUGAACACUGUCUCUUUCCAGAGGUCAGGGGUGAGGUAACUAUAGGUCUUGGAAAUGGCAGGGAUGAGGCGCACCAGCACAGAACCGCAGCGGCCAGUCACCUUGCAAGGAACCGUGUGGGGCUUGCCGAUCUUGUUCCCCCAGUAGCCUCUUCGCACAGGGAUGAUGGACAACUUAGCCAGGAUGAUGGCCCCACGGAUGGCAGUGGCUACUUCCUUAGAAAGGAGAUUUCUUGAACACAUGGUACUUCUAUGUUUGAUUUUUGGAGGAAAUUUUAUAUUCUUUUCCAUGGU